CUUUAUUUUUUUAAACAAACAAUUAGGGAAUUGAGCGCGAAAACGAACACCACGUCUUGUAAUCCCCGUUAGUGUGUUCAUGACUUUGUGUUAUGAAACUUUACAGAAGUUGUCAAGCUACGUUAAAAAGUUCAUUUCAAAUGCGUACUUUUUCAUAUUCGGCAGAUGCUCGUAGCAUCAAGACAGGUUUCGAUCCCAACACAUGCCGCACAAAUUUUCAGCUAAAGAACUUGAUUGAGAGAGGCCGGAUUCAUCAUGCACGCCAGUUGUUUGAUCAGAUGCCUCAUAGAAACACUUGCUCAACAAACAUGUUGAUUUCUGGGUAUGUUAAACUGGGUGAUGUUGAUGUUGCCAGGGAGUUGUUUGAUGGUAUAAGUGAUCCAAAUGCAGUGUCUUGGACGAUAUUGAUUGGUGGGUAUUCACAGCGGAAACGACCUGUUGAGGCUUUUAAGCUUUAUAGAGAGAUGUGUAGGUAUGGGACUGUGCCGGAUCAUGUGACAUUUCCCACCCUUUUAUCGGGCUGUUAUGAAUCCAUGAUGGGAAAAGAGAUUGUUCAGGUUCAUGGGCAUAUUGUUAAACUGGGGUUUGAUUCUAUGCUUAAGGUUUGUAAUAGUUUGGUUGAUUCUUACUGUAAAUCACAUUUGCUUGCUUUGGGUUUUCAGUUACUGAAGGAAAUGCCAGUGAGGGAUUCUGUGACUUUUAAUGCAAUGAUAAGUGGGUAUUCGAAAGAUGGAAUGGAUGAACUAGCGAUAAAGCUUUUUAAGGAAAUGCAACAUUUGGGUCUGAGGCCUUCUGAUUUUACUUUUGCUGCAGUGUUAUGUGCUAGUACGGGUUUGGAUGAUGUUGGUCUUGCUAAGCAAAUUCACAGUCUUGUGGUCAAGGCCAAUUUCGUUUGUGAUGUAUAUGUUGGCAAUGCAUUGCUGGAUUUCUACUCGAAGCAUGAUUGUGUGGAUGAUGUCAGGAAGCUCUUUGAUGAGAUGCCGGAGUUGGAUGGCGUGUCAUAUAACGUAGUCAUAACAGCGUAUGCAUGGCAAGGGCUGCUGAGGGAAUCAUUUGGUCUCUUUCGUGACUUGCAGUUAACCAGGUUUGAUCGGAGACAGUUCCCAUUUGCGACAAUGUUGAGUUUAGCUGCUAAUUUAACUGAUGUGGAAAUGGGUAAACAAAUUCAUGCUCAGACCAUACUAACAAAAGCUGAUACAGAUAUACUGGUAGGCAAUGCUUUGGUUGACAUGUAUGCCAAAUGCAACAGCUUCAGGGAAGUCAAUGUUAUUUUUGCAAAUCUAUCCUACAGAAGCUCCGUGCCAUGGACAGCUUUGAUCUCUGCAUAUGUUCAAAAUGAAUGUCAUGAAGAAGCCCUCGCACUGUUUAAUGAGAUGCGUCGAACCAAUGUUUGGGGUGACCAAGCAACAUUUGCUAGCACCUUAAAGGCUUGUGCAAGCUUGUCUUUAAUUUCACUAGGGAAACAAAUACACUCGUCUAUUAUUCGUUCGGGAUUUAUGUCGAAUGUUUUCUCUGGUAGCGCACUUCUGGACAUGUAUGCUAAAUCCGGUUCCUUAAAGGAUGCAAUGCUCUCUUUUCAAGAGAUGCCUAUUCGGAAUGUAGUAUCGUGGAAUGCAAUGAUCUCAGCUUAUGCACAAAACGGGGACGGUGAAGCCACAAUCAGGUUAUUUAAUGAGAUGAUUCAUUCAGGUCUACAACCAGAUUCUGUAAGCUUUCUCUGUGUUCUAACUGCUUGUAGCCAUCGGGGGCUUGUCCAAGAAGCACUGUGGUUCUUCAGUUCUAUGACCGAGAGCUACAAACUUGUUCCAAAGAAAGAGCAUUAUGCAUCUGUGGUUGACGUGUUAUGUAGAAAGGGAAAAUUUGAUGAUGCAGAGAACCUAAUAAGUAACAUGCCAUUUGAGCCAGAUGAGAUAAUGUGGUCAUCAGUUUUAAACUCAUGUAGGAUUCAUAAGAAUGAAGACCUUGCUAAGAAGGCUGCGGACAAACUUUUUAACAUGGAUGUUCUCAGAGAUGCUGCUGCAUACGUCAACAUGUCUAACAUAUAUGCAGCAGCAGGCCAGUGGAAUGAAGUUGGCAAGGUAAAGAAGGCAAUGAGGGAGCGAGGAGUUAAGAAGGUGCCUGCAUAUAGUUGGGUUGAAAUUAAGCACAAGUUUCAUGUAUUCACAGCUAAUGAUACGACUCAUCCACAAUUUGAGGAGAUUAAAAGAAAGAUAGACACUUUGGAUAUAAAGAUGGAAAGAGAAGGGUACAAACCUGACACAAGUUGUGCCCUUCACGAUGUAGAUGAGGAUAUCAAAAUAGAAUCUCUUAAAUAUCAUAGUGAGAGGUUAGCUAUUGCCUAUUCACUGAUCAGUACACCUGAAGGGACACCUAUACUAGUGAUGAAGAACUUGCGAGCAUGCACAGACUGCCAUGCGGCAAUCAAAAUAAUUUCCAAAAUUGUUGGAAGGGAUAUCACAGUCAGAGAUUCAAGCAGAUUUCACCAUUUUAAAAAUGGUCUUUGCUCCUGUGAUGAUUAUUGGAUUGAUGAAGAUGUCGUUACUAGCAUAAGAUUACAGCAACAUCACCAGAACUCUUGUUUCCAUGUGGAAUAUUUCCGCUUUCCUCUCUUUGUCUUGGUAAUUCGAUCUUUUUCUUUGCUCAUUCACUGACUGUAUUCAUUCCAUUUUACAAACUCUAUUUACAGUCUUUCACUAGUUAUACUUAUUACAAUCUCAUCCAAAUUUGACAUUUUUCUUUACUCAUUCACUGACUAAAUUCGUUUUUACAAACUCAAUUUUCUGUUGUGAACUUAUUGACAUUCUCGUCCAUCUUUUCCUUUUAUUUUACUUGCGGCAGGUAAAUUAUUAUGUAAAUCUAAAUUAGAAAAUCCAGAUUUUGGUCCGGUUACACAAGGAGUACACACCUAUCUGACAGAGUCAGAAACUUAAGGCGACAAAGUCUUCCCAUUUGCCAUUUCACGGGCAAGCAAUGCAUGGUUAGCUUUUCUUUUUCCCUUUAGUUUAUAUUAAUUUUCCAAUGCAUUUUACAGGUGGUAUACUUUCAUUUUUUUGUUUGGCCAAAUAAAAGUAUGCGGAGUACUUUUUAAUCUUGUUUUUGCACAAAGUGACCUUGUUGACUUAGGAGUAGAGCUAGGGCCUAGUUCUGCAACUUUUGGUUUAUUACCACUAUAAUAGGGUUCUAUAUUGUCCAUAUGAUAAACAAGAAUAAAUUGUCUAUAUCGCUAUGUAGCUAAGUCAGCUAUUAUCUUGUUAGUUUAUAAACACGUAGAGUAGAUCUUUGUACAGAGACAAUAACAAUGAUUUGUUCUUGACAUCUAUUUGUUAUAGUACUAUAGUUGUUGCUAUCCUUCGAUCAAUGAUGUAAACUGACAAAUCAUAUCCCACCUUCCCCUAAAGUAGUUGGGUCAAGAAUUUAAAUACUUGCACGCCUACCUCACUAAAGCCUUGAAUCCUCUACAACAAUCUUAUUGAUAGUAAAGUAACUUAAAGAAGAUGUUUAACCACCAGGCUAGAAGCCUUAAAUUAUAAUUAUUUCUUUUCAUUCUGUAGAUGGACUAUUUACCAUCGCCGGCUCAUACAAGGCAAACAAAGCAACCACAUAUGAUCUCACACUUUAUUAAAGCUUCAUUAUUGCGCGUAAAUAUAUGAUUUUUUUUUUUUUGCUAAAUAAAUAUAUGAUUAUUUACUUAUUAUAAGUUAUCUUUCCUCUUUUAAAAUAAAGUCUAAUGAGAUAUAAAGUUUAUUAAAACACAAUAAUUGAUUUACAAACAAAUGAGAGCUCUUAGUAAAAUUAGUAGCGUUUUCAAAAAGUGAAUUCACUUCGAUUAUCUUACAUUUAUAAAAUAUCUUGCUAAUAGAUACACAUGAUAUUUGUUUUUUCUUUCUUUUGUAAAACUUAAAAGCAGCGAAUAUUAUUUGAUUACCAUAGUACCUUUAAAAACUAGCAAAUGGAAAUCGAGAAAUUUUUUUUUUUGAAAAAAAAGAAUGGAUGUAACAUAUUUACUUAUUUUGUUUCUAAAAAUUUAUAGCAAUUUACAAGUAAAAUAUUUAUGUUUUGCUUAAUACUAGUAAUUUUACCGAAUUUUUAAAAAAAAUGUUUAUUUAAGAUGGCCAAAUAAUAUAUUUACGCUUAGGGCCUCAAAUUUCCUUUAGUGGCUAUUUACCAGACUAGUUGCAAUGUAAUUAGAGGACUGGACUUGCUGCCCAUAUUUUUGAUAGCUGCAAAUUGGUGUUUAAAAUUCUGGAAGGAACUAACACCACCUGCGUGUAUUCUUCUUUAUGUACGUAUCCUUUCUUCUUGUUACUCCAUUCCUUCCUGACGCUUCUCAAAGUUAACAUGGGAUCUCUGUUAUACAAUGCAAGUUGCCAAAUUUUAGAAUACAACUGUGUUGUUUAUGAGUCAACCUUUGGUGGGAACAGGUUAGUAAUUAUCUUUUCAUUGAUGAUAGUUUUUGUUAUUGUGCAUAACUAUGUGACGUAAGCUAAUAUGUUUUGUUUAUGUAUUAAUGAUAAUGUGCAUGAGGAUAUAUAUAGGCAGGCACAUUGAUAAAGGCUUGAACCCUCAGUACACUAGAUGGGAGGAGAAUACAGGUGGAACUACCAUCGAUGGCAUGAGUGGUAAUCUCAGCUGACUAAGCAGCAGUGGCAAGGAUGAUAUAGACAGAACUGGAAAAACAUGUACAUGUGCAUAAAAAGAGCAUAUUCCCGAUUGUACUUUCUCAAAUAAAUAUAUUCCCAGUUGUACUACCAGAUUUUAAGGUCUUUUCAAAUACAGGUGUGUGGUUGGCUGUGCUUAUAAACUUAGCUUGUUUGGACUUACAAGUUAGAAUCAGGUCAUUAGUUAAAACGUAUGAUUUGUGUAACGAAUUUAUAAGUCGGAAUUCGAGAAUUUGAAAAUCUUAACA